rnacentral:rRNA from 1 species
UACGUAGGCAGCGAGCGUUGUUCGGAAUUACUGGGCGUAAAGAGUGUGUAGGCGGUGCUCCAAGUCUGUUGUGAAAUCUCCCGGCUUAACUGGGAGGGUGCGGCGGAAACUAGAGUGCUAGAGGGUGGGAGAGGUAAGCGGAAUUCCUGGUGUAGCGGUGAAAUGCGUAGAUAUCAGGAGGAACACCUGUGGUGUAGACAGCUUACUGGACCACUUCUGACGCUGGAGACAGAAAGCGUGGGUAGCAAACAGG